AGAACGAACGCUGGCGGCAUGCCUAAUACAUGCAAGUCGAGCGGCAGCACGGGUACUUGUACCUGGUGGCGAGCGGCGGACGGGUGAGUAAUGCCUAGGAAUCUGCCUGGUAGUGGGGGAUAACGCUCGGAAACGGACGCUAAUACCGCAUACGUCCUACGGGAGAAAGCAGGGGACCUUCGGGCCUUGCGCUAUCAGAUGAGCCUAGGUCGGAUUAGCUAGUUGGUGAGGUAAUGGCUCACCAAGGCGACGAUCCGUAACUGGUCUGAGAGGAUGAUCAGUCACACUGGAACUGAGACACGGUCCAGACUCCUACGGGAGGCAGCAGUGGGGAAUAUUGGACAAUGGGCGAAAGCCUGAUCCAGCCAUGCCGCGUGUGUGAAGAAGGUCUUCGGAUUGUAAAGCAACUUUAAGUUGGGAGGAGGGCAGUUACCUAAUACGUAUCUUGUUUGACGUUACGACAGAAUAAGCACCGGCU
rnacentral:rRNA from 1 species